CGCUGAUUAUCGUCGCGCGCGAAUGGCUCGUCGAAGGCGUUCUCCAUCAUCAGAUCACGCCGCUUCGGACACACUCUUAACAAGGUUUCUGUUAUGGCGUCUGUAUGUCUGCGUCUGCAAAACGUCAAAUUAACCUGACCACGUGCAGCGCGCUGAUUUCGUGAUCUGUCGGCUCCGAUUUAUGCGACGGUAAAUGUGUUUAUGCAUAGGCGAUAAAAUCUGAUUGGUAACACCUGUAAUCUACGUUUGCACGAUCAGCGCAAAACCGAUAUGUUUACAGGCCGUCUAAGUAGGCGCGAACUAUCUUGAAGAAUAUCAAGUGGCAUCAAAGUUGUGACUCGGACAAGGCAGCGAAAAUUGUGUUCA